UCGAGCGAGAAGACGUAGCAAUACGUUUGUAAAGCUGGCGAACGGGUGAGGAAUACAUGGGUAACCUACCCUAGAGUGGGGAAUAACUAGCCGAAAGGUUAGCUAAUACCGCGUACGCUUCUUGGACUUCGGUUCAGGGAGGAAAGCGCUACCGAGGGUAGCGCGCUCUUGGAUGGGCUCAUGUCCUAUCAGCUUGUUGGUGAGGUAACGGCUCACCAAGGCUUCGACGGGUAGCUGGUCUGAGAGGACGAUCAGCCGCACUGGCACUGCGACACGGGCCAGACUCCUACGGGAGGCAGCAGUAAGGAAUAUUGCGCAAUGGGCGAAAGCCUGACGCAGCGACGCCGCGUGGGGGAUGAAGGUCUUCGGAUUGUAAACCCCUUUCGGGAGGGAAGAUGGAAUGGGGUAACCCAUUCGGACGGUACCUCCAGAAGCAGCCACGGCUAACUUCGUGCCAGCAGCCGCGGUAAUACGAAGGUGGCAAGCGUUAUUCGGAUUUACUGGGCGUACAGGGAGCGUAGGCGGUUCGGUAAGCCCUUUGUGAAAUCUCCAGGCUUAACCUGGAACAGUCGGAGGGGACUGCC
rnacentral:rRNA from 1 species